AGGAUCUUAUAGAUCUCAUCAUACAAAUCCAACAUCUAAACCUAUGUAGAGAAGAGGAGAUGGACUGGAUGAAUGAAGAACUGGGUGUGGCCAGCUCCCAGAUAGAGAAGAACAGUGAGGAAAUGGAUUGGAUCUGAAUUUCUGCAACUGGAGAGAAAGCCAUGAAGAUGAAGAAUAAGCCUAAAGAGGUGUCAACCGGAAGGACUGCAAUUAAAACAGCAUUAAUGCAAGGACAUUGGUGCACAUUGCAGAUGCAUUGUGCACCACCUGUUAAGGCCAGAAGAGGACUGGCCACCUCUUGGAGCCUGGUUCCUCACUAGGUUUCUUCCUAGGUUCCUGGUUAGUUGGGAGUUUUUCCUAGCCACAGCUUUUGCAUCAUUAUUGCAUGCUCUUUGGGGUUUUAGAAUG